CCUUGCAUGAGUAGGUGUGUCCAAACUUUUGACUGGUCCUGUACAUUGAUUGUUUUUUAUCUUAUGCUACACAAUGAUAUGUAGCAUUUUCCUAAUCUAAUCUGUAAGUGGUUGGAUUUAUUGCAACCUUUACAGAGAAGGCUGACUUGCAUUCGGAAUGUAAAUUGUGGGUAAUGGAAAAUUGCUGGAAAUGAUUUCUCUUAAAUGGAUACCAGUAGAGAUUGGAUUUCACAACCAAGCCACCAAUUUCACAACCAAUACGACACAUUAAGAAAUACGUAAAUUAGAUUUUACAACACAAAUGGCACCCUAUAAACCCCGAAAUAGAGUUCUUUGACUAAAUAAAGUUUAAUUAACUCUUGUGAUUAUACUGUGAGUCAACAUUACUCUAAAUAAUAAACUUUACAAUACUGAACAACAAAGUAACAGAGAUAUUUUCAAUUAAUAGUGUACAGAGUGCAAUGCAAUAAUGCAGAGUUAAAUAUCAACAAUAAAUUGAGUAUAUACAACUCUGAAAAAAAUGACCAGAGUAGGUUUUACUCUCUUUAGACUGGGACCAAAUGUUAUCUGUGGCAGAGUUACAUUUUCUUCAAUAAGAGUUCAAUUUACUGUGAUUUUUUAUUGUGCAGCUGUCCGGUACACCAGUAUCUAUGGGUAGACUUUAUCUGUAUGCUUUAUCCCUCCACCUAUCCAAGAAAUAUGGCUCCAUCUAUGGUUCACUUUGGACCCAAGAAAGUGGUUGUUUUGGCAGGACACAAGACGGUCAAGCAGGAGUUUGGGGACCGGGGAAUGCCGCAUGUGUUCUAACAUUUCACUGAUGACUUAUCCAACAUUACCAUGUCCAAACUUGUAAUCCGGUUAACUGUUGCAUUCUACACAAUGGUCUGUCAAGCAGGCAUACUUAGUGCUGUAACUCCAGCCCCAAAUAUUUGACAAAGAUAUAACAUGAUUAAUUCCUGACACCUGCACAAUGUGACUUUUCUUCAGGUAUUCUGUUUGCCAAUGGAGACUCAUGGAAAGAGAUGAGAUGCUUUGCCGUGGCGAACCUUAGACUUUGGCAUGGGAAAGACAGGAAGUGAAGAGGAAAUUCGCUACCUUAUUCAAUUGUUUGAAAAAACAAGAGGGUACGCCGACAGCGGUGGACGAACAUCUGGGCUGAAGGUAUGUUGACCUCAACUUCUUGCUCUGGGAAGAGCGGGGCUGAUACCCCAUGGAGCAUUCGAAGAGGGAUAGUCCAGUAGCCGAGCAGGGGAGAGUGUUCCUGGCAUAUUCCACCCAGACCAGUUGCUGACUCGAGGUGGUGGGGUUACUGGCAACAAGACACUGGAGUGCCGUCUCCAUUGGCUCUCUCCGACUGGCCGUUGGAUUGGGGAUGAAACCCAGAGGACAGGCUGGCUGACGACCCGAUAAGGGUGCAGAACUCCUUCCAAAAUCAUGAUGAAAACUGAGGACCCCGGUGUGAGACAAUGUCAACCAGGAGUCCAUGGAUUCGGAAGACACGCUGCACCAUAAGCUGGCCAUCUCCUUGGCUGAAGGUAACUUAGGAAGAGGGAUGAAAUGGGAGGCCUCUGAGAAUCUGUAAACCACGUCAGGAUGGUGGUGUUGCCAUCUGACGGAGGAAGCCCAGUGACAAAAUCCAGGGAAAUACGGGACCAGGGGAAAUGAGGGACAGGGAGUGGCUGUAGGAGGCCAGACGGAGCUUGACGCAGAGUCUUGCUUUGAGCGCACACCAUGCAUGCGGCGACGAAGGCCGAGACAUCAGGAACCAUGGUGGGCCACCAGAAGCGUUGACGGAGGAAAGCCAGGGUAGGACGAGUACCCUGGCUUAGUUUUACACGUAUUCAAUAAUCAUUUAAGGGCAAUAAAGGUUUUCUGCAAAAUAAUGAAAAUAUACUGUAGUUCAGAUAGAGCAUGAUCAGCAGGGCGGGCAAUAGAGUACACGACUGUAUCGUUUGAAUUCAGGUGCAGGUAAAACUUUAUAUUUAUACUGUUCUGACAAAACAAUACUGUCAAUGUAUACAAUAUAAUUGUUUAUUAGACAUUCUGACAUAUAACACAAUAUCUAGGUACAAAAAAAUGUAUUUGCAACAUUUGAACAACAAUUUCGACCCCCAUCGGGUUAUGAUGUAUAUGACAUGACAAUACAUUGGCUGUUUUAGUAUUCCUUUUUUAUUUACAUGUUUAUAAUCGAAAAUUAUAUUUUUAGAGGGGAGGGAAAUAUUCUUUAUGUUAAACUGUAGAGAACAAGAACCUUUGGUGACUCAGAGUCACUGAUGUUUUAUAUACAGUACAACACAUAUCCAGAAGGCUCGUUCUGACAAUAAACAAGAAGCUUUAAAGUUUCAAACGAGGAUGUCAAGACAGGUACGUACUAUAGUAUUACACUGUUAUGUACUACUAAUGUACUAGUAUAUAAGAUGUUAAGGAAUAUCUAUAGGGGGAACAUAUACACGAUAUAACACAUUCCCCACAGCAUCUAAGGAUGCAUACACUUACACUGACAUUUGUAUUUUGUUAUGUGAAAGUAGCAUAAGUAUGUGUAAAGAGUUUCCAAUUUUGUUUAAAAGUUUAGAAUAUGUCUCUUGUGAAUAUUGAGAUGUGUUACAUAUAUUAUGUAUUUCAAUUUCUUACACAUUUUUAAUAAUACUUCUGAGUUGUAGAGAUGUUCUUCAGAGGUUAUAAUACAAAUAGAUAUUUUGAUUUAGUUCAGAAUUUAGUUUUUUUUUUUUUACAUGUAAUCUAGGAUCUUAACAACCUAAUACAUAUACAACUUUUUUCAUUCACCCCAUUGCUAUAUAAACUGAACUUUAGAUUUUAUUUGUUAUAAUAAUGAUUUACAAAUGAAAAAAAAAAUAGUCAAUAGUUAAUUGCAUAUUAUGUAAUUGUUGAUUCGAUUCUUUUUCAUUAUUCAGCCUAUUUUCUCUUGAGACAUAUGGUCUAUCCACUAGAAACUCAUAGACAAUAUGGAUACAUACAGUAUAUAAAGAUUAACAAAUAAAUAUAUAUACAUAUACAAAAAAAAAUGUUACGCUAUUUUUUGUUGUUGCAACUGUCCCAUAUACCGUUACAACUAACCCUGCUUUUGGGGUUAAUUGUAACAUCAGGACUUUUUGGGACUUAGGGUCAUUAAGCCUGAAUUGUCUAAAGUCAACAUGUAACUCUAGUCUACUUUUAGUUAGCAGAAAAAUGUAAGUUUUUUUAUGUGAAGUUCUGAAAUCUCUACAUCAGUGUUAAAUAACUCAAAUGUGUUACUGUUUAACUGUGGUACCUUUUCCAAGAAAUGAACAGAAAUCAAACUCAAAUGUUGAACAGAACACUAUUCAAGUCUGUGGUAAGGUCUCCAAGGAUCUUAUUUCUACUACGAGGGUUUAUCAGUACCCUGCUUCACCUGUUCCUUCUCCCCAUGACUAUACUUUUUCAUGAUGUUGGUUUAGUUUCAUGUUGUUUGUUGAUAACCAAAAAGGGACUUUUUCUCAAUAAAGUGUCAAAUGUGAGACUCCC